GUGCCUGGAGGAUCCAGAAAAACAGCGGGAAAGUCAUGCGCAAUGUGUAGCAGCCUCCGGGGAGGUUUUCUGUUUAAACAAAACUUUCGUAGUUAGUACCCUGCACCAACGAUCUUCAGUAAUUACCUACUCAUGCGUAUGACAAGGACAAGACCAAGGACAGAGUUCACGGGGCAGCUGUGAAGCUGAGUUUGCUCUGAAGACCAUCCUACCUAGUCUCAGGACACCAAGACCUGUUUUCUUCAGAAUUUGGAGGACUCACAGCUUACAUUCUCAUCUAUGCCCUGCAUCAAGUUCUCCACGAACUGAAAUUGGCCAGACAGUAGGACGGUUGUGGAACUGCCUCCUAGAGGACCUGUUUCAGAAUCUUCAUCCGGCUACAGAUGGAGAUAGAGACAGAGAC